rnacentral:rRNA from 1 species
AUGAAACAUGAGAUGGGAAUGGAUAGGCUAAGCUGCCUCCGUUGCAAAACCAAAACAAAUACACAUAGCAACCAGGAGCCUUCCUCAGCUGCUUACUGUUUCCAGUAUCCUAAUAAGCUAAAGAACAGUGGAUGCUUCCCUCUAUUCUCGAAGGGAAGCUCCAGGAGUCCCACUAGAAAUCGAGCUGCGAGCCUUGCGUCGAGGAGGAGCAACUGCCUGAUCCACCAGACGAAGGCCCACUCGACCCGUCCACCGGGGCCUGAUUCAGCCGUUCUAGCACCAGCGACCUCCUCUUUCGCAGCUUCAGAGAAAAUGUGGACGCCUCUAAUAUCACAGGAACCUGCAUAUCGAUGUAAAUGGCGUCGUUAA